CUGGAAUGGGCAAUGACUUAAAUCUAUAUGGCCCCUGGAUUGGACUGCGGCCGAUCAGGCUGUUGGUGAGGUAAUGGCCCACCAAACCUGUAACCGGUACGGGCUCUGAGAGGAGGAGCCCGGAGAUGGGCACUGAGACAAGGGCCCAGGCCCUAUGGGGCGCAGCAGGCGCGAAACCUCUGCAAUAGGCGAAAGCCUGACAGGGUUACUCUGAGUGAUUUCCGUUAAGGAGAUCUUUUGGCACCUCUAAAAAUGGUGCAGAAUAAGGGGUGGGCAAGUCUGGUGUCAGCCGCCGCGGUAAUACCAGCACCCCGAGUGGUCGGGACGUUUAUUGGGCCUAAAGCAUCCGUAGCCGGUUCUGCAAGUCUUCCGUUAAAUCCACCUGCUUAACAGAUGGGCUGCGGAAGAUACUAUAGAGCUAGGAGGCGGGAGAGGCAAGCGGUACUCGAUGGGUAGGGGUAAAAUCCGUUGAUCCAUUGAAGACCACCAGUGGCGAAGGCGGCUUGCCAGAACGCGCUCGACGGUGAGGGAUGAAAGCUGGGGGAGCAAACCGGAUUAGAUACCCGGGUAGUCCCAGCUGUAAACGAUGCAGACUCGGUGAUGAAUUGGCUUUAUGCCAAUUCAGUGCCGCAGGGAAGCCGUUAAGUUUGCCGCCUGGGGAGUACGGUCGCAAGACUGAAACUUAAAGGAAUUGGCGGGGGAGCACCACAAGGGGUGAAGCCUGCGGUUCAAUUGGACUCAACGCCGGU
rnacentral:rRNA from 1 species